AAACAGAAGCUAAGUUAGAAUAGUUUCAGUUGGAGUCUUACCGUGUUGCAUUUGUAGUCUCAACUGAUCCUCUUGCCUCAGCCUCCUGAAUCUGGCACAAGUAUGUGUCACCAACUCUGGCUAAACCUUUUCAAAUUUUUAAUUAACUAAUGUUGUGGGGAGGGGGACUCAGAUGACAAUUUUCAGGAGUCGUUUCUCUCCUGUCAUCAUGUGGGUUCCAAGGACUGAACGCAGGUGGUAAGUCUUGGUGGCAGGACCUGCUGAGCCAGAGUUCCAAUACAGCAAGGUCUUGUCUGAGAAAAACAAAACUUAGGGCAGGGGAUGUACCUUAGCUGGUAGCAUUCUUGCCUACUAUGUAGGGGGUCCUGGAUUAGAUCCCCAAACUGCAUACAUCAAGUGUGAAGGCACAGGAUUAGAAUCCUGGCACUUGGGAGGCAGAGGCAGGCGGAUCUCUGUGAGUUCAAGGCCAGCUUGGUCUACAGAGUAAGUUCCAGGACUACACACAGAGAAACACUGUCUCCAAAAGCCUAAGUAAGUAAAUAAAGAAAGAAAGAAAGAAAGAAGAAGAGCGGGAUCCUGAGAUCUUGCACAUGCUCAGUAGCUUCAGCUCUGGCUAGGCUGCAGCCUCUUCACAGGCACACAGAUCUGUCUGUUUUGGGGACACUAUAGGUGUCCUGGUGCCAUCCUCUCCUUCCACUGCUGAUGAGAGAGGGAUGCCUCUGUUCUUAACACCUGGUUGCUGUCAAGAAGCUAGGAUGGCCAGACGUUGGUGGCGCAGGCUUUUAAUCCCAGCACUCGGGAAGCAGAGGCAGUCAGAUCUCUGUGAGUUUGAGGCCAGCCUGGUCUACAGAGGGAGUUCCAGGACAGGCUCCAAAGCUACAGAGAAACCGUCUCGAAAAAAGAGAAGGAGGAGGAGGAGGAGGAGGAGGAGGAGGAGGAAGGAGGAGGAAAGGAGAAGAGAAGAGAAGAAGAAGAAGAAGAAGAAGAAGAAGAAGAAGAAGAAGAAGAAGAAGAAGAAGAAGAAGCCAGGUUGAAGAAACAAGUUAGAAAACAG
rnacentral:lncRNA from 1 species